ACUGUCUGUGACAUCAGAGAGGUUCUUCGUGUCUCACUGCAUUCAAACUGUACCUCAGUAGGAGGUGUAAAUCCAUUAACUAUACUGUGUGGGGUACAGAGGACAUCUUGCUUACACACUAUUCUUCAGCAGGGACAGCUAGAGAAGCCAGCUGUGUUUCACUUGAGUAGUUCUUAUGGGCAGGUGAAACUUCAUGCAGGCAUUUUGCAUGAACUUGUUGAAGUGAUUCUCCCCCUCUCCUCUGCUCUGGUGAGACCCCAGCUAGAGUACUGCAUCCAGACCUGGGACCUCCAGCAGAAGAAGGACAUGGACUUGUUGGAGUAAAUCCAGAGGAGGCCCACAAGAAGGUCCUCUCUCAUGAGGAAAGGCUGAGAUGCCAUGGACUCUAGAUCAGCCCAAACGGAUUAAAAUGAAGACUGCAGCUGACUGUGAUGGGUUUAUGCUGAAAUUCCUUCAUUUUGAAGCUGGUGCUUGCUAUGAGAGAGGUGAAGAGUGGUGAAUGUGAAAAGGAAGACAAGUGAUAUAAGUUUUUGGUUGACCUUUGAAUCCUACUUGUAGUGAAUUUCUAUUGGCCUAAAGCCAGCAAACACAGAAGUCCUGUAAAGCCUUGGAAUGCUGCAUUCUGUUUUCUUCACUUGACCUGUGCUUGCAUUCAGCUUUGAAGUGGACUGGAUGAGCUCUUGACCAUGUAGACUCUCCUUUGAGGACAGAUGUACCUGUGAAGCCAGCAAAGAAACACCACUUUGGCUGAGCUUCCUUUGAUGUCCACUUGCAAGAGCAAUGAGACUACCAAGGGACCUUGCUUACAAAAAUCCUAACACCUUUUUUUUUUAGCUGUGAACAUACCACAUUUCUUGCUCUACACUCGGAAAUUCCACAAAGGCCCUGGAAGAGGAGGCUGGCCUGAGCAACAAGUCGCUCAUUAGUAUCUCCUCAUGCACAGUUAUAGCAGCCAGAAAGCACUUCCAUGUUGGGGUUCCCAUGCUGUUCUGUGGAACACACAAGAGCAGGAUUCUCCCAGUGAUCACCUCCACAGCAGUAAACCCAUGGCUACAGAGAAACUCCAUAUCUCCUGAGUGAAUGCUUAAUACUUGUUUGCAUGUUACAUAUAAAAGAGCAGGGUUCUUUCUCUGUCAGCACCAUCAUGGUGAAAGGACAGCACAGGAAGAAGGACAGCAGCAUACCUCAUGCCAUCCCAUCUGAGGGGGUUUCUGCAGCUGGAAAGAAAUUCACUAUUUUCCUCAGUGAUUUACUACCUCAGGGAGGCUCAUUACAUCUCAAUGUGCAAGGAAAAUGCCAAAAUGUAUGCGCUAUCAAUAUUAUAUAACCUGCUCCAGAGAUCACAGCACGAGAUUAUCUCCCAGUCAAGGACUUCAGUCAAAGUGUUCAGAGAAUAAAAAAGCAAGGCAGAUGCUGCUGUUGAGAAGUUUUCAAAAGAAUCAUAAAAGCAUGAUCAGACCUCAAAGAUCAAUCUGAUGACAUGCUAUAACAUUCGGUCGACACUCUUUAAUCAGAAAUGCUGAGAACAACCCUGAAUAUCAGUUCACCUACAGAAUUCAAAUAACUUUGAUCACCUUUAGAAGCCAAGAAGACUUGAAAAUAAUCAGAACUUCAAAGAACUGAUCACUGAUCACAGAUAUAUACUGUAUGCAGUCUAAUGUCUUUCAGUGCUCCUCUACUUUGAAACAACAAAAAGCAGUCAGCUUUUCUACUGGAGAUAUGAUCUAGAAAUUCUAAAAAGUUACAGUGUUACAUGGGAACAGAAAUUGCUCUCCUAAAGCCCAUUCUUAUGGCAAAUACCAUAGAAUCAAACAAUAAGAAAACAGUGUCUGUUAUCACAAAAUAUUCCUGUUAUCAUAGAAUCCAAAAAAUGGUCUGUUGCCAGCUUUGAGUUCUGGCUGUAGAGUGGCUUGCACGUGAAGAAUUUGGCAAAGGUCAAACAACUGCCAGCUACAUUUCACAAAAAGUUCCAAGCUUUGUUCAAGCAUGGCUUUCAAUGAAAGAAGAGUGACAAUGAGAUGAGAGUCUUUAAUAAAACCAAACUGAAAACUUUUCUUGAAACCUCCUUCUGGGACUUUUCUUGUCCUUGGGAAGGAUUUUUGCAUAACAGUUAAAGGACUUCAGACCAAAGGGAAAGAAGCCUGUUCUUCAGUGAUUGUGUCAUGGAGGCGCCCGUAGCAGUACACCAUGACCAUCACGGGGACAGCCAAGCAGAAGAUGAAGAGACAGAUGAUGUAGGACGUGGACUCCGCCGACUCUGAGGACCAGCGUACUGAACAGCUUGUGCCUGCGCCUUCUACCCCAUAACUGCUCCAACCAAGCAGAGGUGGCACGGUCCAGACCAAGGAAUAAAUCCAAGAACCACCAACUGCCAGCAGAGCCUUGCCGAAAUCAUCACUGCGCUUGUGGCACAGGCACCCCACACGAAGGGAAGACGUGGGAUGGGCCUGGCAGCCAGUGUGGCUUGCACAGUGCUGGCGGGGACCACAGGAUCAGCAGUGAAAGACAGAGCGAUACCUUGACUGCGGAACCUGGACGAGAUCAAGGCUUUGAUCAGCCUUUCAGUGCUGCAGAACUCUAUAAAAAAUGUUUGAAUUUAUAAAGCUUCAGAACAAACGAACCUACGAACACCAAUUCUUUCCCAAAUCAGGAAAAAGGAAUGGGUAAAGACAUGUAGAGGAAGCAAUAUAGGACACUAAGGUCAGUGAAGAAAGAGUCAAAUGCUAGAUGGGAGGGGAUUGAGGAGAUGCCUUAGGAGAUGCUGAAAUUCUUUUGUAAGGCUAUGGUGAAGAUAUAAUUGAUACAUAAGACUGUUUUUCCCAGUAAUUCAUGGAAUGCAUUGGGGGAUGUAGUGUUCUAACUACAGCUGUGAGCAGAAAAGCUGGAGUUGAAAUAAUGUUGCAGUAGCUGUGAUUUCACUGAGAAGCUUGAAAACAGAUAAGAGAGAUAAGAAACAGUGCCCCAAGGACAGAAGAAGAAAUCCUGUGUUCCCAGUGAUAAAAGCUUUUCCCUGUGGAAAAGCUGCAAGGUAUGGGAGGGACUUUAACACUGGAAACAGAUUUUCCUUUCCCAGGCAUCUGAUUUGGUGUUACAGCAGGAAAUGAGUAAAUCAUUCUAGUGGGUCCACUGGAAUUUGACCAUCCCUAAACCCACCACACUAAUUGGUGCAUUGUCCAGAAAACUCAGACUGGUGAACCAAAAACCACUACAGUAACGCCACAGCAAGUCCACACAUGCCCCAGUGCCACUGCAGCCCACAUCCAGCCCAAACUCAGCUGCUGAGACAAAGACAGGGCAAAAUGCAGCUGAGAGCCUGGUACAAGGAAUAGAACCAGGAUGUACCUGGCUGUUCUGCUGCUGAGCCCCACUGCAGGAUGGUACAAGCUGAGCAUCCUUGGGGGUGCAUCUGACCAUCUGCCAGCCAUGUACAAAAUGCAGAGGGGAAACCAAGGGCAUAUGUAGUUCCCAUACGGCAUCUACAGGACCCUCUAAUUUCUCCAGAGGAGCCUGCCAGUGGCAGACAUUAACUAAGAGCAAUUCUCACCAUUGCUGCUUAAAUGUGUUGCCAAAUGAAGAGAAAAUGAUGAUGCUUCACACAUUCACAAGACUCCAUUUAUAUAUGUGUGUGUAUGUAAUACCCACUCCUGGGGGGCAGCUUUCACAUAAUAUCCAGGUGUGGUGAUUUAACACCACCCAGAAAUGAAUCUCUAAAUAAACCACUCCUUUUCCCCCCACCCUUCUUGUAAGAGAGGGACAAAGGACGGGACUAUAGGUUGAGAUAACAAUUUAUUGAAAGCAAACAGCAGUGGAAUAAGAAAAGUACAGUAAUAGCAGCAAUGUUAAUAAUAAAAGUAUACAAAAAGAGAAAGCGUUUUACACACAAGGAGCUGUUUGUUACCUCAGCUUAGUUCUGUGCGGCCACCAGGACAAAGUCCGGGUGGUGGCUGCUCCCAUGCCCAGCACCACAUGGUUUCUCCAGAUGAAGAAAAGCUGUUGGGCACUUCCUGCAGUCAGCACUCCUGUUCCCAAGACUGAGACAAUGAAAACCAUCAUGGACAAAUCCCCCAAAAGCUGGAUAAUCUGUGCUGUGAUGCCUGGUUUUUUUUUUGCAGAUCACUGUGCUCCACUGGUUCAAUUCCAUGUGGCAUGGCCAUUUUGAACUGUUCCACUCUGUCCCACCUGCUCCACUCUGCUCGUUUUGGCUCAGCUUGGCUUGGACCAGGCUCCCCUGCACCCCUCUGUUUCCCGCAGAUGCUUCCUGCACUAGUGCUGCUUUUCAGCCCAAUGUCUUGGAGCCAAGGCUGCCACUUUUUCAGAACCAUGUCUCCAAGCUAUGUCUUGGAGGAACUGGGAAGGGGACAGGCAGUGGCGACAAAGGACAGGGUCCACACAGUUGAUCCCAGAAAUCCCCCCCAGUGAAGAGUGAGACAAAAUGACACACUUCCAGAGGAGCACUCACCUUUUCUUUCCCCCAAAACCAUGCCUGCAAUGAUGAUGUGAGUGUUAUGGAAUAGCAACCUGGCCACAUCCAAAGAGUGCUGAGCUGCGCCCCCUCUCCACAGCCAGGACACCUGGGAAGCACAUCAUGCAGCUGGAAAUGCAAGAGGAAUGUGAACUAGCAGUUGGCAGGCUGUGAGCCACCAAAAGUUGCACCUUCUCUUUUGAAGUCAGGCCACUGUGCAGUGGUGAAUAGUGAACUCAGAGAGGCAGCAAGCAAGGAAGAGCACCAUGCUGGAAGGACAUUGGUAGAGGUGAAAGAGGCAUGCUCUGGUGUCCACUUACAAAUCCUGUGUUGGUAAACACCUAACAGGAGCAAUAGGGAGAAGAGAGGAGGGCGUGAGCUGCACAGCGCUUCAUCUCCAGCCCAGUGAUACUGUGCUGUAACCAAGGCAAAACCUUCUCUUAUCCCAAGAAGGUGUUAAAGUGCCUACCAGAGUGAAGUCUUUGAUUUCAGGAAUAACAUUCAAAGUAGGACAUUAGGCCUUCCAUUUUCACUUUUUUUCAAGGCAUGAUUCCUUCUUUAUCAUGUUUUCCAAAAUUUCUGCCCAAGUUGUCUUCUUGCUUUAAGCACGUAAAUUGAAUGCAAAAGUCCAGUACUCAAGCUCUACAAAUUACCUGCUGAAAGAGCUGACAGCAUUUUGCCUACAUUAUGAAUUUGGGAUUAUAAAAUUGGUAAG